rnacentral:rRNA from 1 species
UACGGGGGGGGCAAGCGUUGUUCGGAAUUACUGGGCGUAAAGGGCUCGUAGGCGGCCAACUAAGUCAGACGUGAAAUCCCUCGGCUUAACCGGGGAACUGCGUCUGAUACUGGAUGGCUUGAGAUUGGGAGAGGGAUGCGGAAUUCCAGGUGUAGCGGUGAAAUGCGUAGAUAUCUGGAGGAAUACCGGUGGCGAAGGCGGCAUCCUGGACCAUAACUGACGCUGAGGCGCGAAAGCUAGGGGAGCAAACGGG